rnacentral:rRNA from 1 species
CCUACGGGAGGCAGCAGUGAGGAAUAUUGGUCAAUGGGCGCGAGCCUGAACCAGCCAAGUCGCGUGAGGGCAGACGGCCCUACGGGUUGUAAACCUCUUUUGCCGGGGAGCAACGGGCGCCACGUGUGGCGCCACUGAGAGUACCCGGAGAAAAAGCAUCGGCUAACUCCGUGCCAGCAGCCGCGGUAAUACGGAGGAUGCGAGCGUUCUCCGGGUUUAUUGGGUUAAAAGGGUGCGUAGGCGGAGCGUUAAGCCAGGGGGCAAAGUGAGGGGAUAAACCCCUUCCCGCCAUUGAAACUGGCGCUCUUGAGUGGAAGAGAAGUAUGCGGAAUGCGUGGUGUAGCGGUGAAAUGCAUAGAUAUCACGCAGAACCCCGAUUGCGAAGGCAGCAUGCCGGCUUCCUACUGACGCUGAAGCACGAAAGCGUGGGGAUCGAACAGGAUUAGAUACCCGAGUAGUC